AUACGGAGGGUCCAAGCGUUAUCCGGAUUCAUUGGGUUUAAAGGGUCCGCAGGCGGGAAAAUAAGUCAGUGGUGAAAGCCUACAGCUCAACUGUAGAACUGCCAUUGAUACUGUUUUUCUUGAGUAUAGAUGAAGUGGGCGGAAUAUAUCAUGUAGCGGUGAAAUGCAUAGAUAUGAUAUAGAACACCGAUUGCGAAGGCAGCUCACUAAGCUAUUACUGACGCUCAGGGACGAAAGCGUGGGGAGCGAACAGGAUUAGAAACCCUAGUAGUCC
rnacentral:rRNA from 1 species